AACGAACGCUGGCGGCAUGCCUAACACAUGCAAGUCGAGCGCCCGUAGCAAUACGGGAGCGGCGCACGGGUGAGUAACGCGUGGGAACCUGCCCAGAGGUCUGGGACAGCCGCGGGAAACUGCGGCUGAUACCGGAUGAUUCCUGAGGGACAAAGAUUUACCGCCUUUGGAGGGGCCCGCGUCGGAUUAGGUAGUUGGUGGGGUAACGGCUCACCAAGCCUAUGAUCCGUAACUGGUCUGAGAGGAUGACCAGUCACACUGGGACUGAGACACGGCCCAGACUCCUACGGGAGGCAGCAGUGGGGAGUAUUGGACAAUGGGGGGCAACCCUGAUCCAGCAAUGCCGCGUGGGUGAUGAAGGCCUUCGGGUUGUAAAGCCCUUUCGGCGGGGACGGAUGAUGACGGUACCCGCAGAAGAAGCCCCGGCUAACUUCGUGCCAGCAGCCGCGGUAAU
rnacentral:rRNA from 1 species